UUUUUCUUCCAUUUCUACCUUUUCUCCUUUUUUUUUUCUUUUUUUUUUCCUCCUUUGUCCCUUUUCCCUAUUUUCUGAGAAUUUAGCUGCCAAACCUUAACAAGUCUCAAUAGAGCACAUGUGAAGAGGUUUUUCAAAAUGUUCACAUUGGCUAAUACCAGCCAACUUCUCCAGUGGAAAAGAAGGCAAAAAGAUAAUUCCUUAAAAGAGAAAAAAGCAUACUAUGCUUCAGGAUGCCAUUUCAGAGCUACAGAGGCCCAAUACUUCCCCGACCAACUCAUUGAGUGGUUGAGGGUUUUUUGCUUUUUACUCAAAAAAAUAUCUUUUCUCUUAAAAGUGGUUUUUAAAAGUGGCUUAACUAUUCUGUCUUGAAAGUUUUUUCCAGAAAUAUUCCACCCAAGGCAGAUAGCCAUUAUGGAAAAUUUCAUGCAGACAUAUUUCAUUAGAAAUAUAUUUGUGGACCCACAAAAUCUAAACAUUACACUCAAACGAUCAUCCUGCUUCUGCUCUACCUCCCUCCAAAAUACUUUAGUUUCUUAAUCAAAACAGAUUUCAUUUUUCCUUCAGACAAGUGUAAUUUCUAUAUUUUGUCACAACUGGGCAAGAUGUUUUUUUCCCCCUUGAAAACUCAGUUACUGGCAAAUGGAAAUUUGGCUCACUGUAAAGCACUUGAGAUAACUCAAAUAAAACCAUGUGUAUCCAUCACACUUCUGAUACUCAAGAGUAUCAACUAACUCUGAGAGAGAUGCAAUUCAGGAACCCCUCCAGCAAGCCUACACACAAUGGUUUGGAAACAUUCCCAGAUUUUUUUGCUGCAGCUUAGUUUGGCUGACAUGCACUUUGGAAAAAAAAAAAAAAAAGUGCACUUGUUCUUGCGUAGGUAGGCCUACAUGUUAAAUUUUACCAUUUGAAAAGUCAGUAAGAUUAAAUAUGUGAACAAAUAUUUGAAGAGGUGAAGCCUAAACUAUCUUCUGAUGGAAGUACAGGAGAAUAUUUAUGAUCUUGUUGACAUCUCUUUCUCUCCAGAUACUACAAAGGCUAUGUGGACUCUGUAGAGACUUACAUAUUAAUUAUCAACUACAGCCUCUGUGUUUUCAUUUCUUUUCUCCUUUCGUCCUUUUUCUAGCUGAUGACUGUUAGCUUUACUUUGCUCUCAUUUUAGGAGUGCCUGCAUCUCAAAGAAUGCUGCUUAGAUUUUCUUGCAGCAGAGAGAGUCUUCCAGUCAGACCCAUUUCUUCUGGAAGAAAGCCCAAAGAUUCACAGAAACUUACCACAUCUAAGUGGAUCUGAGCAAUUGAAAUACCCUUGAGGAGUUCUCCUGAGCUAGGCUGCUCAAGAGAGCUUACAGCUCAAAAGCAAUUACCAGAUAUUUCCAGAAGAAACAUUGACCUGGUGCACAAAGGUACACUACCACAUCAGUGAGAGAACGUUUUUAGGCUGAUUUGAAAAUAAAAAAUAAGAAAGAAGAAACGUCCUGUUUUGGUGGUGGUGGUAGUUUUUUGGUGGUGGUGAUUUUUUAACUGGAUUCCAAUAAUUAUGUUUUCCUCACUUCUUCUUUGGAAAUGAAACACCUAAAUGCAUUGUUUUUGAAGAAGAUUAUCAAAUGCUUUGUGGACUCCAGCAGAUAAGACACUGUAACACAGUCGGUCGUAGAUUUGCUGGCAUAAGUAGGCUAAAUUUCCACAGAGGCUGCACUGGAAGAAACUCUUUGAAGUCAGUCCUACAGUAGAUUUUGAAUCUUCCUCCCAAGAGAAAGAAAUCAAAUGCUCUGCAUCUCUGACAGACUCUGGACAGGAGAGAAAACUCAUAUUGAACUUAGAGAAUAGGGCAUAAUCCACUGAAGCAAAUACAUGCUAUCAUAGGAAACUAAAUUUAUUUAAGGUAUUUAUAUUAACAAAUAAAUAAAUUAAAGUAGAAUUAGCAUCAAAAGCACAUGGAGGAUCAAACAGUGUACUGUGUUUAUAAUCAAUUUAUUAAUAUAAACAGCUUCAGAUGUUCAAAGAAGUGAUGCAGUAUUAGAACCUGCAGUGGAACGGAGGCUGGAAUGAGCCCAGGCUGCAGCUCACACAGUGGAGAAGGUUUCACUAAGGCCAUGUAUGGAGACCAUUGCCACAUUGGCUUGGAAAGAGAGUAGAACCCAUUCCUUGUGUUGUUUCAGCAACCCCAGAUGUGAAAAGAGUCACCACAUCAAUAGAGAAAACAAUGAAAGGUUGAGAGGACUGUUAAAAACUGAAAUGGCCAGAGACUAGCAAAGAUGAGCAAUGUAAACAAACCCAGAAAACCAUUCAGUCAGACGGUUAGAGUGAGGAGAAUGAUGAAUACUAGCGUGCCUUUGCAAAAUGUGAGGCAAAUACAGAAUUGCACAGAAAUUAACUCUUUCCCCAUUGAUGUUCCUGUUCUGAACAUCUUGUCCAAUUCCAAAAUAAAACCUGAAGCACUUGCAGAGAUCUUUGGCUUUAGCUGUCAUUGUGACCAUUCACCUUCUUGCUCAGCAAAGGUCUUAAAGCUUCAGGUUUGAAUAACUGAAACAUAACAACCUAAAAUCAGUAAAAGCACUAGAUGAUCUGAAAGGUCCCUUCCAACCCAAACUAUUCUAUGAAAAGAACUGAAAUUUGGUAUGAAUAACAGGUCUCAUGGGAGGUUACUUAAUCUAUGGCAUUUCAUAUCCAUUCCUCUCUCUCUCUUAUCUACCAAGAAGCUCAAAAAAAGAAAACACAUUUUUGGAAAGUAUUAGUAGGAAGAAAGUCCCACAUUAGAGACAAUAAUAAAGAAAAUUGCAGGAAAGCUGGCUCCCCAUUAAGGAUAUGGCAACAACCAAUCAAUCAGCAGUAAAAUGUAAACAGGCAGAAAGCUCAAUAACAGAGAAAUUACAGAAGUUUGUAAAUCACUCAAAUCAAGAAAGAAGCCACUUGAUUAGCAGAUCUAAGGAGGACCAAACUACAUCUGGUAGAUAAAUUCAAAGAAUUAUUGAGCUGAGAACCACAACACCUUGGAACGAUUUAUGCUCAGGAAAUACUGAGUGCAUGCAUACAGUCCCACUGAGCUCAUGGCAUUGCAGGGCUGAGACCUGAAUUUGGAUUUGAAUUUCACACUCAAGUUCUUGCAAAUAUAAGUUCAUACAUAUUGGCAGAAAGAGCAAGCUAGUUUCAUAUGUCCCGAUUCUAAUGCUCAUCCUGUACUUAUAGCAGACACAUCUAGACACACAAAAAUUCUUGCCUGCAGUGACUAUCAAAAAUUAAAAUACUUUUUUUUUCUGAACUGUGAGAGAAAGAGUCUAUUGCAGUUCACUUGAUUUUUUGGGGGAGAACAGUAUAGGUUAAUAUUUUGCCUGAUCCACUGCAAAGAACUAAUAGAUGUAAAAACUGUGCAGCUGCCCCUGUUAAUCUGAGAACAAAUCACAAAGGAAGGUGUAAACAAAAGGCAGGUGAGUUCUCAAAUGAACAAUUAGGAGGAGGACAAACAGGGAAAAAAAAAAAAAAAAAAAAAAAAAAAA
ensembl:lncRNA